CAUGAGGCCAUUAAUAUUACCAACAAAUUCAGCUUGAGAAACUCGGUCAUAUAUUCAAUGCUCGAGUUUCUCGAUAUAAUCUCGUUAUUCUGAACCACGUAACUCUGGAAAACAUGGUUCGAAGAUAAAGAUAAUGGUAAAGUUAUUUUUGAAAAAUCCAUUUCAACAUUUCCUGAUAAAAGAAAAUCAUUAAAGGGGACUCGCCUGUCGCUGACCGUUCUUAUAAAAUCUAUUUAAGAAUCUUGGUUUCGCAAUCGUGAUCGAAAUGGCGGUCUGGAAAUGACGGAGUAGCGAAGUAUGCGAGUGCGGAAAAUGACGUGAAUUACGCCGUAAUGCGAGUUACGGGUAUGAAGAAAAAAGGGUACGAAGAAGAAAAAAAAAAGGAAAUUGAUGCGUACGUUUGAAGUACAAAGAUGGCGAAAGGUUCUUUAUUAUUAUAGCCUGACCGACGAACAAAUUAUCAGGCUGGUCGCCUCGUUCUCCCUUGGAAUUUAAGUAGAUCUUAAGACGUUACUCGAUGUUGAAUGGCCAGUUAUCGUUAAUCGUUGAACCGCCCUUGCUGCUUACUUACCUUGGAAAAAGUUUUUAAUCGUCCGUAUGUUGAAGCGUGAAGGCGAAACGAUGCGACCGGCAUUCCGUGUUUCCAUUAGAAAAUAACUCUUCACGUCUUUUUCCUCCUUGAAGAAUCGCUGCCGAUCUUCCGAUACGCCAUUCAAAUCUUCGAUUUACUCUGAGUUUGAUAUACAAUAUAAUAUUCAUUUUUCAAAUCUACAAUUAAUAAGCUCUUUGUUCUUUACAUAUUGUAGAGAGAACACAAUGAUAUAAUUUUAUCCAUUUAUCUUAUCCGCUUCGUAACAUGAGAGGAUUUAGAAUCGAGGUGUUACGUCUCUUCUAAUUCUCAUCAGAUUACCGCAGACAAAUUACUUAUGUCAAAUAAUAGUUCAGCCUUAAAUAGAACCUUUCAUAAGCACGUGUCCCAAUUCGUCACAUUUGGUGAUAUUUCCAGAGUUGCGUGUUCCCUAAAAUGGUACACGGUCGUGAGACGCAUAAUCAAUUUUCAGCUCUCGUUUCGAUUAGGAAAAAAAAGAAACACUUGUGAAUUUCGAUACACUUUAGCGCUUUCCUGACGAAGAGGUGUAAUUGUAAAGUAUCAUAAUUGUAAGGACGUCGUAACGCAGAUCUCGCGUGGACCACUUGUUGUGCGAUUAACUAAUACAUUCCAUUAAGAGGAGCUGUGCAUCAGAAGGAGUGCAGGGUCCGAACGUACUGGUUUGUUUUCCCCAAUGAACCGCCACUUUUUUUGCGGGGAAAGGAAAGAAAAAGAGACGGGAGAAGUAAAAACGAUCGAACUAUAAUCGAUCAGUUGAUAGCCGUUGAUUGGGCACAGCACGUGGUACGGUAUGUGUUGUAAUUUAAGGUACGUUUUUCUAGACUUAGCUCUCGCGUGUUUUUAAGGUUUAACUCUAGCGAACGAAAAUAAGAAAGAAGGAUGUACAUGCAUGGGCGAGAUAGAGAGAGGGAGAGAGAGAGAGAGAGAGGAAAUAAUAAGACAUUUCUCUCCGACAUUUAGAUCGAGGACUCACGACAACGCACACAUAUUUUACGCACACGAGAACAGAGGGUGAAUAUGGGCGGGAGGAAGAGAGAGAAGGAAAAAUUAACGUAAGCAGCACACAAUGAAAGACGCGUACACGUACACGUAUAUCGAUUAUGCUAUGCGCGCACAACAUUCAACACGAUCACACAUUAUAACUUGUAUAAAGAAAUCGCCGUUAGCAUAACUACUACCUUCGCAGGGAGAUUGUGUAAAGAACAUUUUACAUGCACAUUUUCACACGCACCAUUCAUAUUCUCCCCGCGGCAUUAGUAUCCCUCUUUUACGUCUCUGCGCUCUUCGCUAUUAUCACCAAAUGAAAAUAAUCGACGGAAGAAGGGAGGGAAUUAUUGAGUUUCGAAGAAACGAUCGUGAUCGGAAAAGAAGAGAAAUCGUACGCUUCCUCGAAGAAAAUAGUUUCACGUUAUUUUUCUUAUAUAAUUUUGCAUAUCUAAAAAUUUUGUAUAUCCAAAAAUAUCCAUCGGAUAUUCAUACGAGGUGAUAUAUCUGCGAAAGUUAGUACCGGUACAAAGAAAUAUUUGCUUCAGGCGCAGCAAUACAAGAAAGAG